rnacentral:miRNA from 1 species
AGGCAACGGGCUUGGCGGAG